UGGCGAACGUGUGAGUAACACGUGGGUGAUCUGCCCUGCACUUCGGGAUAAGCCUGGGAAACUGGGUCUAAUACCGGAUAGGACCACAUUUUGGAUGGUGUGGUGGAAAGUUUUUCGGUGUGGGAUGAGCUCGCGGCCUAUCAGCUUGUUGGUGGGGUAAUGGCCUACCAAGGCGUCGACGGGUAGCCGGCCUGAGAGGGUGUACGGCCACAUUGGGACUGAGAUACGGCCCAG
rnacentral:rRNA from 1 species